rnacentral:rRNA from 1 species
GUAACACCGGCGGCUCGAGUGGUAACCGCUGUUAUUGGGUCUAAAGGGUCCGUAGCCGGCCGAAUAAGUCUCUUGGGAAAUCCGGCAUCUCAAGUGUCGGGAUGCCAGGGGAUACUGGUCGGCUUGGGACCGGGAGAGGUGAGAGGUACCUCGGGGGUAGGGGUGAAAUCUUGUAAUCCUCGAGGGACCACCAGUGGCGAAGGCGUCUCACCAGAACGGAUCCGACGGCAAGGGACGAAAGCCAGGGGCACGAACCGGAUUAGAUACCCGGGUAGUCCUAGCCGUAAACGAUACUCGCUAGGUGUCGGCCACGGUGCGACCGUGCUCGGUGCCGUAGGGAAGCCGUUAAGCGAGCCACCUGGGAAGUA